CCCUUAGAUGUCCUGGGCCGCACGCGCGCUACACUGAACGGAUCAGCGCGUUUUCCCUUCCCGAGAGGGACGGGUAACCUGCUGGACCCCGUUCGUGGUAGGGAUCGGGGCUUGCAAUUAUUCCCCGUGAACCAGGAAUGCCCAGUAAGUGCAAGUCAUAAGCUUGCGUUGAUUACGUCCCUGCCCUUUGUACACACCGCCCGUCGCUACUACCGAUUGAGUGAUCCGGUGAAUAAUUCGGACUGCGGCAUUGACCGGUUCCCGAUCGUUGCUGCGGAAAGUUUAGUGAACCUUAUCACUUAGAGGAAGGAGAAGUCGUAACA
rnacentral:rRNA from 1 species